AUUGAACGCUAGCGGCAGGCCUAACACAUGCAAGUCGAACGAGUGGCGGACGGGUGAGUAAUGUCUGGGAAACUGCCUGAUAGCGGGGGAUAACUACUGGAAACGGUAGCCAAUACCGCAUACCAUCGGAUGUGCCGAGAUGGGAUUAGCUAGUAGGUGGGGUAAAGGCUCACCAAGGCAACGAUCCGUAGCUGGUCUGAGAGGAUGACCAGCCACACUGGAACUGAGACACGGUCCAGACUCCUACGGGAGGCAGCAGUGGGGAAUAUUGCACAAUGGGCGCAAGCCUGAUGCAGCCAUGCCGCGUGUAUGAAGAAGGCCUUCGGGUUGUAAAGUACUUUCAGCGGGGAGGCGUUACCUGCAGAAGAAGCACCGGCUAACUCCGUGCCAGCAGCCGCGGUAAUAC
rnacentral:rRNA from 1 species